UACGGGGGGGUAAGCGUUGUUCGGAAUUACUGGGCGUAAAGGGCUCGUAGGCGGCCAACUAAGUCAGACGUGAAAUCCCUCAGCUUAACUGGGGAACUGCGUCUGAUACUGGAUGGCUUGGAUUCGGGAGAGGAAUGCGGAAUUCCAGGUGUAGCGGUGAAAUGCGUAGAUAUCGGGAGGAACACCAGUGGCGAAGGCGGCUGCCUGGGCCAGUUCUGACGCUGAGGCGCGAAAGCGUGGGGAGCAAACAGG
rnacentral:rRNA from 1 species